GAACAAUUUUUGAAAAUGCUGUUAUCAUAUAGUAUUUACAAUAAUUUCAAUCAUGAACAAUAUGAUACAAGUCUAAGUAGGAAUUCCACCUAUUUUUAUAUACAAUUUUAGAAUCAUAAAUGUGGGUCCCUAGUUGCCCCAUAGGCUGGAGAUGAUAUUGACAGGCAUUGGCCUAAGUGCGGUGAGGGAUCCGUGUAAGGAUGGGUAGUGAGAGUGGCUGCAAGAUAUCUGAAACCAGUUAUCUUGCAGCCAAGGAAGAGUAAAAGCUCGGUGUCCAAGAUUGAAGUAGAAGAAAUCGUUUAAGCACUAAUUAUCUAUUAGGCCGGAUGGAUGACAGAAAGGAGUUGCAGUUGCAGUCAGGAAACGGACGAAAUGAUGGCUGUGACUGGAUGGAACUCUGACCUUGGGGAUAAGCAUUGGAAAACAAGCAAGCAAGCAAGCUCCCGGACGACAGCAUCACAGCUCUUAAAUAUCUGUGCUCUAUCUGACCCCUAUUUCCAGGCUAAAACAAAGAUCUUAUUUCUUAUAUUGGCUAUCCUUGUGUUUUUCCAAUUAUCUGCGCUGUUUUCUUGCGGCUGUCCAUGACUGAUUCACUUCGUAAUCCAAC
rnacentral:lncRNA from 1 species